UACGUAGGGGGGCUAGCGUUGUCCGGAAUCAUUGGGCGUAAAGAGCGUGUAGGCGGCUCGGUAAGUCCGCUGUGAAAGUCCAGGGCUCAACCCUGGAAUGCCGGUGGAAACUGUCGAGCUAGAGUCCGGAAGAGGCGAGUGGAAUUCCUGGUGUAGCGGUGAAAUGCGCAGAUAUCAGGAGGAACACCAAUGGCGAAGGCAGCUCGCUGGGACGGUACUGACGCUGAGACGCGAAAGCGUGGGGAGCAAACAGG
rnacentral:rRNA from 1 species